ensembl:lncRNA
AUGUCUGUAAGCUCUACACCCAAUGUGAGGCUCAAACUCAAUGACCCUGAGAUCCAGAGUCACAUGCUCUUCCAACCGAGCCAGCCAGGCGCCCCAGGUAAGCUGUUUCUGAUCCUCUUUAGCAAUGGACAAGAAUAUGUUUGUCAGAUCAAUAGUCACCUUUCAAGUGCAUUACGGUUAGAGCACCACAUUCAGCUUGGCAGCUACAAUUAAGGUUACAAGUCGGUUAGGUUUAUGAUAGUCCACCAUCAUCUGUCAGGGCCUAUUUGCUUUUUGCAGAGGCCAGAGAGGUGACUUGAAUAGGGAUAUAAUGGGAUGAACACUCUUCCAUCCUUUAAGUCUUUUAUGAUAAGUACUAAUCUCUGCAGUUCCCUUCCGGAUGCAGUGUUGCUUCUCACGUACCCUCCUAGCUGGCUGUAGCAGUGGGCUGGCUGGGUAAUAUCACAGGCUUCCAGUUGGCCCUUUAUACUAUAAAGAUCAGGAAAUUAAGGCAAAGAUUCUGAUAUCUGCUAAAAAUAUCUCUAUCAAUCUGUACUCUCAAAUAUUGGGGGAUUAAUUACAGAGUAGGUCUAUGAAUGUAUUUCACCAUUGUGACAUGUGCUUGGACUAGAAGUCCUUUUAUCACUUGGUGUCCAUAUUCCUCACUCUAACCAGAGGCCCCUUAUGAUGUUUGGGGGCCCCUGGUAUAAUCAGUGUCUGCUCACACUCCAUAUCCAACCAUCCUGAGAGGUUUUUUUCUCCCCUAUCCAACCUUGCAUUCCAUCCAUCCACCUAAGUCUAAUACCUUCAAGGUCCAUCUUCACACAUGUUCCCUUGCUUCCUUCCAGCACGCAUUGGCCAGGGCCUGCAAUACGUUUGGUGUAGAAGUCAUCUCCUCCCAGGACAGAGACCCUUCUUUCCAGCCCAGGCCAAUACCUGACUCUGGUUAUUAGCCUGGCAGCCAAUGGGGUGAUGGGUCAGAUACUGAGUAGGGAGAGUGGCAUCUUGUAAAGUACCUGCCUUAGUUCAGGCUUUUGUAGCAUCUCCAAACAAGGAGAGACUGCUUUCUUCUGGCAAGAGGGAAUGGGCUGCUUCUGCUGCAAGAGAGAAUCUGGAGUUUCAGUUUCUAAGGUUUCUCUGCUAACGUGACCCUAUCUCAGGUAUUAGGAUGCUCUUCUUUUUCUAGCGGGACUCUGGCAUUGGCACAGGAGACAACAGAGGUUGUGCAUGCCACCUCCUUUGCAGCUGCCACCAGUGCCAUACUGAGAAGGGCCCUCAAAAAAUAAAACAUGGAGCCUACUUGUUUAAAAUGUUCCUUUUGAAAGGCAUCUCGGCUCCUUCCACGAUUUAGCUAUUGUGGACAAUGCUGCUAUGGACAUUGGGGUGCAUAUGGCCCUUCUCUUCACUACGUCUGUAUCUUUAGGGUAAAUAACCAACAGAUGACUGGAUUAAGAAGAUGUGGUCCAUAUAUACAAUGGAAUAUUACUCAGCCAUCAAAAAGAAUGAUUUCUCAACAUUUGCUGCAACAUGGACGGGACUGGAGGAGAUAAUGCUAAGCAAAAUAAGUCAGGCAGAGAAAGACAAUUAUCAUAUGGUUUCACUCACUUAUGGAACAUAAGAAGUAGGAAGAUCGGUAGGAGAAGAAAGGGAAGAAGAAAGGUGGGGUAAACAGAAGGGGGAAUGAACCACGAGAGACUAUGGACUCUGGGAAACAAACUGAGGGCUUCAGAGGGGAGGGGGGUGGGGGAAUGGGAUAGGCCGGUGAUGGGUAUUAAGGAGGGCACGUAUUGCAUGGUGCACUGGGUGUUAUGCGCAAGUAAUGAAUCAUGGAACUUUACAUCAAAAACUAGGGAUGUACUGUAUGGUGACUAACAUAAUAUAAUAAAAAAUAUUAUUAUAAUAAAAAAGUUCCUUUAAAUUUUCUGAUUAUCAUAAUAUUAUGUGUUCAUUGUACAAAAUUUAUAAAGUACAGAAAAGUAUAAAGACAUGGAAAAAGUUAUCACCCGUAAUUAUGCUACCCAGAGGCAACUGGCACAUUUACUUCCAAUCUUUUUUUAAUGCCUAUUUUAACCUAGCUGAGGUCAGGCUAUAAAUAUAAUUUUAUCUGUUCACUUAAAAUAUUCACUUAGUUUGAGAAAAAUUGCCCAUACUAUUAAAAUCCCAAGUUUUAGAAGCUGAAUUUGCACAAGUAGAUAGAGCCGAAAUUUAAUGAACUGUUCUGUUAUUGGGCAUUUAAGUUGUUUCCAAAUUUUGCUGUAGGGGCAGGAGUAAGGGUCUUAGAGGCAGGUGUACUUGAGUUCCGGUCUUGGUUCUGCUUACUAGCUGUGUAGCCCUGGGUAAAUUACUGGAUUUCAAAUUCAUCUUCUAAAAAUUAGGUUGACAAUUCCUAUCUCCUAAGGUUUUGGUGAGGAUUAAGUGAUACGUAUAAACACCAAAAGCAGCUCUUGGCACAUAGCAGG